CAGUAGCCGCGGUAAUACGGAGGAUGCAAGCGUUAUCCGGAAUGAUUGGGCGUAAAGCGUCUGUAGGUGGUUUAUUAAGUCUACUGUUAAAUAUCAGGGCUUAACCCUGAAUCGGCAGUAGAAACUCAUAAGCUUGAGUACGGUAGGGGCAGAGGGAAUUCCCGGUGUAGCGGUGAAAUGCGUAGAGAUCGGGAAGAACACCGAUGGCGAAAGCACUCUGCUGGGCCGAAACUGACACUGAGAGACGAAAGCUAGGGGAGCAAAAGGGAUUAGAUACCCCAGUAGUCCCUGUCUCUUAUAC
rnacentral:rRNA from 1 species